GAUGAACGCUGGCGGCGUGCCUAAUACAUGCAAGUCGAGCGAAUGGAUUAAGAGCUUGCUCUUAUGAAGUUAGCGGCGGACGGGUGAGUAACACGUGGGUAACCUGCCCAUAAGACUGGGAUAACUCCGGGAAACCGGGGCUAAUACCGGAUAACAUUUUGAACCGCAUGGGUCGAAAUUGAAAGGCGGCGUCGCCUGUCACUUAUGGAUGGACCCGCGUCGCAUUAGCUAGUUGGUGAGGUAACGGCUCACCAAGGCAACGAUGCGUAGCCGACCUGAGAGGGUGAUCGGCCACACUGGGACUGAGACACGGCCCAGACUCCUACGGGAGGCAGCAGUAGGGGAUCUUCCGCAAUGGACGAAAGUCUGCCGGAGCAACGCCGCGUGAGUGAUGAAGGCUUUCGGGUCGUAAAACUCUGUUGUUAGGGAAGAACAAGUGCUAGUUGAAUAAGCUGGCACCUUGACGGUACCUAACCAGAAAGCCACGGCUAACUACGUGCCAGCAGCCGCAGUAA
rnacentral:rRNA from 1 species